rnacentral:rRNA from 1 species
GCUCAAUUCAGCAUCACUUAGGAGGGAAUUUGGAGAGCUCAGAAAGUUAUUACCGACCAUAAUCACCAGCUUGUAAGUCCAGAUAAGAGGCACAUGCUGAGGUCACAGCGUCAACUCUUAGAUGCCGAUCGCCACAUGAUUAAGCAAAUGAGAACAUGGGCAAUUAAACAAGCUGAAAUAUAUGAUUUCUGUGAGCUUUGGUAUGGUAAAGAUGCUAUAUGCUUCUUGCAAAUGGAUUGCAACAAUUAUUUAUGAAGUGACCGCUCAAAGUAUUUGUAAACCAAAGAUGCACAAACAUUAAUGAAGUAUCUAAAGAACAAGCAAGUAGAGGACCCUUCAUUUUUCUAUGACAUGCAGUUAGAUGAUGAUGAUGAUGGUACAAUAAUGAACAUCUUUUGGACUAAUGGACAAGCUGUUAUGGACCAUUCUGUCUUUGGAGAUGCCCUUUCCUUUGACACCACAUUUUCAACAUACUUGUUUCAAAUGUCAUUUGCUCCAUUUAUUGGUGUUAAUCAUCACAAGCAGACUAUUCUUUUUGGUGCAGCAAUACUAUAUAAUGAAUCUGCAAAUACCUUUGAGUGGGUUAUUAGAACCUUUCUAGAAGCUAUAUCUAUUAAGCAGCCUGAAACAAUAUUCACUGAUCAAUGUGCCGCCAUUAUAAAUGCUAUUGGAAGGGUUUUCCCAAGAACACGACAUCGUCUUUGUUUAUCGCAUUUCUAUCAAAAUGUUGCAAAAGAUCUAAGUCUACUAAUCAGCGACGAUGACAAUUUUCUUAAAGAAUUCAAAAUAUGUGUGUAUGAAGAUAGAUCACUGGCACAUUUUGAGAAUAGAUGGCAUGAGCUCUUGCUCAAGAGCGGAUUGAAGAUAAUUCUUGGAUAA